rnacentral:lncRNA from 1 species
CGGGGGACACACUCCGUGAUCCCCUCCUGGCUGGAGGGGUCAGGCUUGGUGGACCCAGCAAGCAGCCGGAUGGAGAAGGUGGCACCAGAUGCAGACCCCUACCGUCCAGGACCGCAAGCCCUCGCCGGCUCUGCGUGCUUUUAGGUUUUGUCUCCACCUCUGCACACCCACACUCGCCUCCUGGGCCGCGACAGCUUCCUUCUGUCAAUCAGGUGUGGACGGGAAGGUCUCGAAGUUUCCUCGCCUGAGUUGAAAGCUGGAGGUGGGGGCACCUCUGCCCGUUCCUAACUGCCCCGUUAUAAGGUCCCCCUCCCCACAAUUGGUUCUCACCUCGCCCUCGGAGCUCAUGGGAGAUCCCUCCGUCCCUCCUACUGUGCCCUCGGGCAGAUGAGUCUGGUCCCAGCUUCUGGACUGCCCACUGUCGGCCACUUGAGAGUUGGGGACGGUGGGGCAUUGUGACGCUCUCCAACCUUGGAACGCGGUGGCAAAGUGGCCGAUCAAUAUAUGGGACAAGUGGGGGCGGGGGGGCGGACUCUAAGGUGGAAAAAACACUACUACUUGGGAUUUAAGGAAGCAAUCUGGAUUCUGUCUCCCCUUGGUUCUUUGGAGCUUAGAGGUCUAACGGCGACAUUCCUCCUACAGUAAGGGCUCUUCUGGGUCCCUCGUUUCCAAAGACAUGAAAGUUCUGACCUGAAAACGGGGGCCGGGGAGGGUGAUGUCACAACCAUAUAACGCAGCUCCUUCAGCCGACUCCCACCCGCAAGACCUGAGACCUGACGGAUAAAAGCAGAGAGGAGUCAGAGUGAGCGCUGCGUUUGGGAAACUGCAUUCCAGGGCAGCAAGACUGGUGCCAAGACGGAAUCGUGGCAAAAGCCUCCAGAGGUCUUCCUUAAUAUAUGUCAGCCGUGGAGUGGUGUACUUAAGGAGAGAGAGACUUGGAAAAAUACAGACCGAGAACAAGGCCAUGUGGAGAUAGAGGCAGAGACUGAAGUUGUGCCACCAAAGGCAAAGAAUAUCAAGUAUCGUCAGUAACCACAGGAAGCUGGAAGAGGCCAGGAAAGGUUUUUCUUAGAGACGUUGGAAGGAGCCUGACCCUGGAACACCUUGAUUUUAGACUUCUGAC